AUACGGAGGGUGCGAGCGUUACUCGGAGUCACUGGGCGUAAAGCGUCCGUAGGCGGUCGGGUAAGUCGGGUGUGAAAGCCCCGGGCUCAACCUGGGAAGUGCACCCGAUACUGCUCGACUCGAGUGCGGGAGAGGAUGGCGGAAUUCCCGGUGUAGCGGUGAAAUGCGUAGAGAUCGGGAGGAACACCAGUGGCGAAGGCGGCCAUCUGGCCCGCAACUGACACUGAGGGACGAAAGCGUGGGGAGCAAACAGGAUUAGAAACCCUAGUAGUCC
rnacentral:rRNA from 1 species